UUGAUAGUUGAUCCUGCCAAUAGUCCUAUGCUUGUCUCAGACUGUGAAACUGCGAAUAGCUCAUUAAAUCAAUUAUAGUUUGUUUGAUGAUAUUUGCUAUUCGGAUAAUCGUAGUAAUUCUAGGGCUAAUAUGUGCAACAAACCCUCGACUUUUGAAAGGGAUGCAUUUAUUAGAUAAAAGAUCGAUACAAGUUUUGCCUAUUGCUCUGGUGAUUCAUGAUAACUUGAUAGAUCGCACAGCCAUUGUGCCAGUGACACAUCAUUCAAAUUUUUGCCCUAUCAUGGUAGGAUAGUGGCCUACUAUGGUGGUGAUGGUGACGGAGAAUUAGGGUUCAAUUUCGGAGAUUGAGCUUAAGAAACAGCUACCACAUCCAAGGAAUGCAGCAAACACGCAAAUUACCAAAUCCUAACACGGGAGGUAGUGACAAUAAAUAACACUAUCAGGCUCUUUGAGUAUGGUAAUUGGAAUGAGUACAAUCUAAAUCCCUUAACGAGGAUCCAUUGGAGGGCAAGUCUGGUACCAGCAACUGCAAUAAUUUUAGCUCCAAUAGUGUAUAUUUAAGUUGUUGCGAUUAAAAAGCUCGUAGUUGGACCUUGGGUUGGGUCAACUAGUCCGCAUCACGGUGUGCACCAAUUGGCUCAUCCCUUCUAUCGAUGAUACGCUCCUGGCCUUAAUUGGCUGGGUCGUGCCUACUAUGCUAUUACUUUGAAUAAAUUGGAGUGCUCAAAGCAAGCCUAUGCUUUGUAUACAUUAUCAUGGGAUAACAUCAUAGGAUUCCAAUUCCACCGUGUUGGCCUUUGGAUCAAAGUAAUGAUUAACAGGAACAGUUAGGGGCAUUCGUAUUUCAUAAUUAGAGGUGAAAUUCUUGGAUUUAUGAAAGACGAACAACUAUCAAAUCACCACCGACUGCGGUGGCUACACUGGAUAAGGCUCUACUGAUCCUCAACGAAGAGGUGAAGGGUUUAAAAUCCAGAGGAGGCGCUAGGUGUAUUAAGUGUGACUCAGGGGUGGUGGGUCCUCCUGCUUAAGUGUCACCUGAGGGUUUACGGCGCGGCUGUCGGCUACAAGCCGGUUCCUCCAGCACCAAAAAAAAAAAAAAAAAAAACAACUAUCAAAUCAACCACCGGCCGCGGUGGCUCCACUGGUUAAGGCUCUGUUGAUCCUCAACGAAGAUGUGAAGGGUUCAAAACCUAUGGGAGGCGCUAGGUGUAUUAAGUGUGACUUAGGGGUGGUGGGUCCUCCUGCUUAAGUGUCACCUGGGGGUUUACGGCGAUGCUGUCGGCUGCAAGUUGGUUCCUCUAGCACAAAAAAACAAAAAAAACAACUAUUAAAUCUUACCACCGGCUGCAGUGGCUCCACUGGAUAAGGCUCUGCUGAUCCUCAACAAAGAGGUGAAGGGUUCAAAACCCAAAUGAGGCGCUAGGUGUAUUAAGUGUGACUCAGGGGUGGUGGGUCCUCGUGCUUAAGUGUCACCUGGGGGUUUACGGCGCGGCUGUCGGCUGCAAGCCGGUUUCUCCAGCACCAAAAAAAAAAAAAAAACAACAACUAUCAAAUCAACCACCGGUUGUGGUGGCUCUACUGGAUAAGGCUCUGCCGAUCCUUAACGAAAUGGUGAAGGGUUCAAAACUCAGGGGAGGCGCUAGGUGUAUUAAGUGUGACUCAGGAGUGGUGGGUCCUCCUGCUUAAGUGUCACCUGGGGGUUUACAGCAUGGCUGUCGGCUGCAAGCCGAUUCCUCCAGUACCAAAAAAAAAAAAAAAACAACUAUCAAAUCAUACCACCCGCCGCGGUGGCUCCGUUGGGUAGGCUCCAGACUUCCAUGUAGGGGGUCUGGAGUUCGAAGCCCUUGCAACGCAAGUUGCAAGGAGGCUAACGGAUCAUUUGGCGACUUACCCGGGGUGUGUGGGUGGUGGUUUCCUACGUGCCUCCUCAGGGUUUACUUCCCAGCUGUCGGCUAUGCGGGGGUUCCCUAGGUCACCAAAAAAAAAAAAAACAACUAUCAAAUCAUUACCACCGGCUGCGGUGGCUCUGCUGGAUAAGGCCUUACUAAUCCUCAGCCUAGAGGUGAAGGGUUCAAAACCCAGGGGAGGCGCUAGGUGUAUUAAGUGUGACUCAGGGGUGGUGGGUUCUCCUGCUUAAGUGUCACCUGGGGGUUUACGGCGCGGCUGUCGGCUACAAUCCGAUUCCUCCCACACCAAAAAAAAAAAAAAAAAAAAAACAACUAUCAAAUCAUUUGCCAUGAAUAUUUUCAUUAAUCAAGAACGAAAGUUGGGGGCUCGAAAAUGAUCAAAUAUUGUUUUAGUCUCAACCAUAAACGAUGUCAACUAAGGAUCGGCGGAUGUUGCUUUUAGGACUCCGCUAGCACCUUAUGAGAAAUCAAAAUUCUUGGGUUCCGGAAGGAGUGUGGUCCCAGGGCUGAAACUUAAAGAAAUUAAAAUAGAAUUAAGAUUGAACCUAAAGUAGGAGUUUUUUUUUUAUGGGAUAAAAA
rfam:Eucalyptus grandis cultivar BRASTZ1 unplaced genomic scaffold scaffold_2, whole genome shotgun sequence.